GUGCUCGCUUAGGCAGUGCAUACGCUAUGAUUGAAAUGAUAUAGAGAUUAGCACAGUCCUUGCCCAAGGAUGACAAAGUCAUGAAACAUUCUAUAUAUUU
ensembl:snRNA U6 U6 spliceosomal RNA